rnacentral:rRNA from 1 species
CGGAGGCAGCAGUGAGGAAUCUUGCUCAAUGGGCGAAAGCCUGAAGCAGCGACGCCGCGUGCGGGAUGAAGGCCCUCGGGUUGUAAACCGCUUUCAGCAGGGACGAAAUUGGCGGUACCUGCAGAAGAAGGCCCGGCCAACUACGUGCCAGCAGCCGCGGUAAUACGUAGGGGCCUAGCGUUGUCCGGAUUUAUUGGGCGUAAAGAGCUCGUAGGCGGUUUGGUAAGUCGGGUGUGAAAUCUCCACGCUCAACGUGGAGGGGCCACCCGAUACUGCCAUGACUGGAGUCCGGUAGGGGAGUGUGGAAUUCCCGGUGUAGCGGUGAAAUGCGCAGAUAUCGGGAGGAACACCAGUAGCGAAGGCGACACUCUGGGCCGGUACUGACGCUGAGGAGCGAAAGCGUGGGGAGCAAACAGGAUUAGAUACCCUCGUAC